rnacentral:misc_RNA from 1 species
ACAACCCCUCAGCUAACGCUGGUUUUGAACCGGGACAGGUUAAACACCCGCACCGGUUUUAAAGUUGUAAGCUCUGCUGGCUGCUCUGCCCCAACCGGAACAUAGUAAAAACACUACUUGUUAAGGCGAGGCGAAGCGGUACGGCCUGAACAAAACCUACCCAUUCUAAGG